ACCCGCUGAACUUAAGCAUAUCAAUAAGCGGAGGAAAAGAAACCAACAGGGAUUGCCCUAGUAACGGCGAGUGAAGCGGCAACAGCUCAAAUUUGAAAUCUGGCUCUUUUAGAGUCCGAGUUGUAAUUUGCAGAGGGCGCUUUGGCGUUGGCAGCGGUCCAAGUUCUUUGGAACAGGACGUCACAGAGGGUGAGAAUCCCGUACGUGGUCGCUAUCCUUCGCCGUGUAAAGCCCCUUCGACGAGUCGAGUUGUUUGGGAAUGCAGCUCUAAAUGGGAGGUAAAUUUCUUCUAAAGCUAAAUACUGGCCAGAGACCGAUAGCGCACAAGUAGAGUGAUCGAAAGAUGAAAAGCACUUUGGAAAGAGAGUCAAAUAGCACGUGAAAUUGUUGAAAGGGAAGCGCUUGCAGCCAGACUUGCCUGUAGUUGCUUAUCCGAACUUUUGUUCGGUGCACUCUUCUGCGGGCAGGCCAGCAUCAGUUUGGGCGGUUAGAUAAAGGUCUCUGUCACGUACCUCUCUUCGGGGAGGCCUUAUAGGGGAGACGACAUGUAACCAGCCCAGACUGAGGUCCGCGCAUUUGCUAGGAUGCUGGCGUAAUGGCUGU
rnacentral:rRNA from 1 species